AACGGUACAGUUUAAAUAUGUACCUAAUCGAAUUGUAAACAUAUACUUCAAGUACCUAGUACUUGGGAAUUGCAUUUCUUCAAACUUAACCUUUAUGACCAGCGGAUAUUAUUUCAUUUGGCUAUAGAAUAUCUUAUGCAGAUAGCAUUUUUUCAAAUCGAAAUUGUUUUAUAGUGAGAUGUCGCUUUGCAAUACUUGACGAUCAAAAAAUACAGCUAUAAAAUACUAUUCGUUCACUGCAUGUGGUUUUUGGAUUGUCUAAUUGAUUUAGCAUAAUGAGGA